rnacentral:rRNA from 1 species
AGACCACCAGCUAAGGUCCCAAAAUAUAUGUUAAGUGGAAAAGGAUGUGGCGUUGCCCAGACAACUAGGAUGUUGGCUUAGAAGCAGCCAUCAUUUAAAGAGUGCGUAAUAGCUCACUAGUCGAGUGACACUGCGCCGAAAAUGUACCGGGGCUAAACAUAUUACCGAAGCUGUGGAUUGUCCUUUGGACAAUGGUAGGAGAGCGUUCUAAGGGCGUUGAAGCAUGAUCGUAAGGACAUGUGGAGCGCUUAGAAGUGAGAAUGCCGGUGUGAGUAGCGAAAGACGGGUGAGAAUCCCGUCCACCGAUUGACUAAGGUUUCCAGAGGAAGGCUCGUCCGCUCUGGGUUAGUCGGGUCCUAAGCUGAGGCCGACAGGCGUAGGCGAUGGAUAACAGGUUGAUAUUCCUGUACCACCUAUAAUCGUUUUAAUCGAUGGGGGGACGCAGUAGGAUAGGCGAAGCGUGCGAUUGGAUUGCACGUCUAAGCAGUAAGGCUGAGUAUUAGGCAAAUCCGGUACUCGUUAAGGCUGAGCUGUGAUGGGGAGAAGACAUUGUGUCUUCGAGUCGUUGAUUUCACACUGCCGAGAAAAGCCUCUAGAUAGAAAAUAGGUGCCCGUACCGCAAACCGACACAGGUAGUCAAGAUGAGAAUUCUAAGGUGAGCGAGCGAACUCUCGUUAAGGAACUCGGCAAAAUGACCCCGUAACUUCGGGAGAAGGGGUGCUCUUUAGGGUUAACGCCCAGAAGAGCCGCAGUGAAUAGGCCCAAGCGACUGUUUAUCAAAAACACAGGUCUCUGCUAAACCGUAAGGUGAUGUAUAGGGGCUGACGCCUGCCCGGUGCUGGAAGGUUAAGAGGAGUGGUUAGCUUCUGCGAAGCUACGAAUCGAAGCCCCAGUAAACGGCGGCCGUAACUAUAACGGUCCUAAGGUAGCGAAAUUCCUUGUCGGGUAAGUUCCGACCCGCACGAAAGGCGUAACGAUUUGGGCACUGUCUCAACGAGAGACUCGGUGAAAUCAUAGUACCUGUGAAGAUGCAGGUUACCCGCGACAGGACGGAAAGACCCCGUGGAGCUUUACUGUAGCCUGAUAUUGAAAUUCGGCACAGCUUGUACAGGAUAGGUAGGAGCCUUUGAAACGUGAGCGCUAGCUUACGUGGAGGCGCUGGUGGGAUACUACCCUAGCUGUGUUGGCUUUCUAACCCGCACCACUUAUCGUGGUGGGAGACAGUGUCAGGCGGGCAGUUUGACUGGGGCGGUCGCCUCCUAAAAGGUAACGGAGGCGCUCAAAGGUUCCCUCAGAAUGGUUGGAAAUCAUUCAUAGAGUGUAAAGGCAUAAGGGAGCUUGACUGCGAGACCUACAAGUCGAGCAGGGUCGAAAGACGGACUUAGUGAUCCGGUGGUUCCGCAUGGAAGGGCCAUCGCUCAACGGAUAAAAGCUACCCCGGGGAUAACAGGCUUAUCUCCCCCAAGAGUUCACAUCGACGGGGAGGUUUGGCACCUCGAUGUCGGCUCAUCGCAUCCUGGGGCUGUAGUCGGUCCCAAGGGUUGGGCUGUUCGCCCAUUAAAGCGGUACGCGAGCUGGGUUCAGAACGUCGUGAGACAGUUCGGUCCCUAU